rfam:Bombyx mori DNA, contig: Bm_scaf5_contig4936, strain: p50T/Dazao, build 2, whole genome shotgun sequence.
UUAACUUAAAUUUGUAUGAAGUUGGAACGUUUGCUUACGUUCGCCGCUAGGGGCGCUGUUCCAACUGCAUACAAAUCUGAGUUA